rnacentral:rRNA from 1 species
AGCGAACGCUGGCGGCAGGCUUAACACAUGCAAGUCGAGCGGGCAUCCUUGUGGUGUCAGCGGCAGACGGGUGAGUAACGCGUGGGAACGUGCCCUUCGGUUCGGAAUAACUCAGGGAAACUUGAGCUAAUACCGGAUACGUGCGAGAGCAGAAAGGUUUAUCUGCCGAAGGAUCGGCCCGCGUCUGAUUAGCUAGUUGGUGAGGUUACGGCUCACCAAGGCGACGAUCAGUAGCUGGUCUGAGAGGAUGAUCAGCCACACUGGGACUGAGACACGGCCCAGACUCCUACGGGAGGCAGCAGUGGGGAAUAAUGGACAAUGGGGGCAACCCUGAUCCAGCCAUGCCGCGUGAGUGAUGACGGCCUUAGGGUUGUAAAGCUCUUUUCUCCGGGACGAUAAUGACGGUACCGGAGGAAUAAGCCCCGGCUAACUUCGUG